rnacentral:ncRNA from 1 species
UCCCAUGCAGAGGCGGGAAUGCUUAUACAAGACGAGAAGACCCUGUGGAGCUUAAGUCGCAUAACUCAACACAUACUACCAUCCAACCUAUCGGAACAAACUAUAUAAGCCACUGAGUUAUAGUUUUUGGUUGGGGUGACCUCGGAGCAUAAAAUUCAUUCCAAAUGAAUAUAACCUAGAUUAACAAAUCCAAGUGUAUUAAUACCAGUAAUUGACCCAUCUCUUGAUCAAUGGAACAUUACCCCAGGGAUAACAGUGCACUCCUAUUUGAGAGCCCAUAUUGAAAAUUAGGGUUUAUGACCUGGAUGUUGGAUCAGGACAUCCAAAUGGUACAAGUGCUAUUAAAGGUUCUUUUGUUCAACGAUUAAAGUCCUACAUGAUCUGAGUUCAGAUUGGAGAGAUCCAGGUCGGUUUCUAUCUGUAAAUUC